UAAUACAGAGGGUGCGAGCGUUAAUCGGAAUUACUGGGCGUAAAGCGCGCGUAGGCGGCUUGGUCAGUCGGAUGUGAAAGCCCCGGGCUUAACCUGGGAAUUGCAUUCGAUACUGCCAGGCUAGAAUGUAGUAGAGGGUAGUGGAAUUCCGGGUGUAGCGGUGAAAUGCGUAGAUAUCCGGAGGAACACCGGUGGCGAAGGCGACUUCCUGGACCAAUACUGACGCUGAGGCGCGAAGGCGUGGGGAGCAAACAGGAUUAGAUACCCUGGUAGUCCACGCAGUAAACGGUGAACACUAGGUGUAGCGGGUAUUGACCCCUGCUGUGCCGCAGCUAACGCAUUAAGUGUUCCGCCUGGGGAGUACGAUCGCAAGAUUA
rnacentral:rRNA from 1 species